rnacentral:rRNA from 1 species
CCUUUGUACACACCGCCCGUCGCUACUACCGAUUGAAUGGUUUAGUGAGGCCUCUGGAUUUGAAGCUUGAAGUUGGCAACGAUUUUAAGCUUUAGAGAAAUUGGUCAAACUUGGUCAUUUAGAGG